rnacentral:tRNA from 1 species
UUUAUCUAGUUUAAUAAAAUAAUAGCUUGUCAAGCUGUAGAAGCUAAAUUUAGCGAUUAACA